rnacentral:lncRNA from 1 species
GCCGUACACACUAAAUUCUUUGUCUGACUUAAGUAUCAGAGGGACGACGAGAACACACUUCGUUACCUUUGUUUCAGAUACCAGAAGACCGUUCAUGUUCAUUCAAGUUUGGAGUUCAAGCAUUCAAUUCAAAAUCUAUCAGGUACGAUUUUUUUGUAGCAUUAGCCAUAAUUUACAAGAACAUUCUUCAGUCUUAGUAAGAGGGAGAAGGGUUAAGGACUUGUGUUUCAAUGACGAGUAAAGCGAUCAAGCUACUUGCGCCUGUCUGGUCCGAUCGUUUAGCCGCUCUUUCUAAGAGACGAGAAUGUAAAUAGAAAACAUCCCCUGGAAAAGCCUCACUCGUUGACCACGUCCUAUAGCGAUCAUCGAAUCAAUAGCAAUAAGCGCGGUUUAACCUUACAAAAGAAAUUGGCCUGAGGGCAAGUCCGAGCCUCCGUUAUCCUUGCGUGAAGCCACCCCCAGGUCGGCUAGUUAUACGUUGAGCACACCAUUGACUUCAAGGUGUAGAAACUCCAUCAGAUCCAAUGUUAAUACAACAGUCACGAUUAACCAACAUAUUACGAUAUGGAUAAGUUCGACUAGUCUACUUCAAAAAUUGAAAUUAUUAGUACGGUAGAUUUGAUCUAUAGUUAGGGCAAAUUGUAAGGA